ACCAAGUAUUCCCAUUCAAGUUUAAAUGUUGAAAAUGAAUCUUAUUUGUACUCACCAUAGGACUGGAUUCAUGUACCAGAGUUGGUCAGGAACUUGUCUUGGGAUCUGAUUUGUUCUUACAGGGUGUGUAAAAGGCUGUUUCCUAUAUCCAAAGAAAUAGCCAAGAUAAACAAGUGGCAGAGAUAUUCCAAACCAGAGACAAAGUAACGAAAGCAUGGUUGUGAAGGGUACUGCUCCUGAACUGUGUUGUCCCCAGAUGAAAAAGUUCAAGAAGAAACAAGUCAUAAAAACUAUUCCCGGGUAUAUUUAGAAACUUACUAGCAGCGCAGCUUUUUUCCACUCUCUUCCUCGCAUCGUUUUGUACAAACGUGCUGAAAAGUAGCCGGCUAUCAAACCGGAGAAAACGUACAAGAAUAUUGCGCAGGUUCCAAGCGCCCCUCUGCUUGCAGGUGAGAGCAUUCCAAGCAUCGCAAAAA
rnacentral:misc_RNA from 1 species